AUACGGAGGGUGCAAGCGUUGUCCGGAGUUAUUGGGUUUAAAGGGUGUGUAGGCGGUGUAUUAAGUCAGUGGUGAAAGCCUGCGGCUCAACCGUAGAACUGCCAUUGAUACUGAUACACUUGAGUAUGGACGAGGUAGGCGGAAUUUAUGGUGUAGCGGUGAAAUGCAUAGAUACCAUAAAGAACACCGAUAGCGAAGGCAGCUUACUAGGCCAUAACUGACGCUGAGGCACGAAAGCGUGGGGAGCGAACAGGAUUAGAAACCCCAGUAGUCC
rnacentral:rRNA from 1 species